GAGUUGAUCCUGGCUCAGAUUGAACGCUGGCGGCAUGCCUUACACAUGCAAGUCGAACGGCAGCAUGAUCUAGCUUGCUAGAUUGAUGGCGAGUGGCGAACGGGUGAGUAAUACAUCGGAACGUGCCCUGUAGGUGGGGGAUAACUAGUCGAAAGAUUAGCUAAUACCGCAUACGACCUGAGGGUGAAAGGUGGGGGACCGCAAGGCCUCAUGCUAUAGGAGCGGCCGAUGUCUGAUUAGCUAGUUGGUGGGGUAAAGGCCCACCAAGGCGACGAUCAGUAGCUGGUCUGAGAGGACGAUCAGCCACACUGGGACUGAGACACGGCCCAGACUCCUACGGGAGGCAGCAGGUGGGGUAAUUUUGGACAAUGGGCGAAAGCCUGAUCCAGCAAUGCCGCGUGUGUGAGAAGGCC
rnacentral:rRNA from 1 species